rnacentral:sRNA from 1 species
CUGCGGGACGCGGCCAGCCUCAAUCAUCUUGGCCAGUUUCCAGGACAACAGGGCACAUGUUAGGAGCCGUGAAGUAGGAGACAAAGUCGCUAUUGUAAGGAAGCCACACCAGUCCUUCACAGUCCAUUCCACAACAUACUCAGCCUAAGCCUGCAGAGCAAGUGUCUUCAUAGGAGCCAUAGGAAAACAUGCUUGAGCAAUGAUCUCUGUCAUUGACCUUGGAUUAUUAAUGAGCCAGUCACAAUUUCAGAUGACUCUUGGUUGUUUCUCUUCUUUAGUUCUGCUGUACACUUCUGAGAGUAGGUUUAAAUACCUAAUGGCAGCUGAUCACAGGGGUUACAUUCACCCCAGUCCCUCAGCCUUGGCAAGUGCUGGUCCCAGGAAUCCAGGCUUGGCCAUACCACAACAGUUGCCAUCAGCCUCCCCUACAUCAAGUGGAGGACCAGCAACUCAGACCCUCACUCUCACAUAAAUGUAUACAGGUUUUACUGGUGAAUUAUACCUCAAUAAAACUGCGGGAAAA